GGAGUGGUGGCUCAGUGGUUAUGAUGUUGGACUUCUGAUCGAAAGGUUGUGAGCUCAAGUCCCUGCAUCG